rnacentral:rRNA from 1 species
CCCUUAGAUGUCCUGGGCCGCACGCGCGCUACACUGAUGCAUGCAACGAGUUUAUAACCUUGGCCUGAAAGGUCUGGGUAAUCUUUUGAACGUGCAUCGUGAUAGGGAUAGAUUAUUGCGAUUGUUAAUCUUGAACGAGGAAUUCCUAGUAAACGCGAGUCAUCAGCUCGCAUUGAUUACGUCCCUGCCCUUUGUACACACCGCCCGUCGCACCUACCGAUUGAAUGGUUCGGUGAAGAUCUCGGACUUCGAUAUUUAUUCUUUAUUGAGUUUAUAUUGUGGGAAGUUAUCUAAACCUCAUCAUUUAGAGGAAGGUGAAGUCGUAACA